rnacentral:rRNA from 1 species
UACAGAGGUCCCAAGCGUUGUUCGGAAUCAUUGGGCGUAAAGAGCGUGUAGGCGGCCCGGUAAGUCCGCUGUGAAAGUCCAGGGCUCAACCCUGGGAUGCCGGUGGAUACUGUCGGGCUCGAGUCCGGAAGAGGAGUGUGGAAUUCCUGGUGUAGCGGUGAAAUGCGCAGAUAUCAGGAGGAACACCAAUGGCGAAGGCAGCACUCUGGGACGUGACUGACGCUGAGACGCGAAAGCGUGGGGAGCAAACAGG